AGUAUUUGAGUAUGUAUGGGCCCAUUGAGUCCUGCCUUCAGUUGGUCACCAAAGCCCCAACUGCUUUGUUCUCAAGUGCUUCUUGUGAAUUUAGCUUAAGUUUUCUAUCAUACGAUUUUCUUCUUUCGCAGCCUGCUUUAAGAGUACCAAUGCACAGGAUUCUGCUUAGUCAUUUUAUCCUUUUUAUUCCCCAGCAGAAGUUGAAGAAAAUAAAUUUUUAAAAGAUGUGUAUUUAUUUGUUUGUAUGUUAAUACCCCAACUCAUUUCAGGAAGAAUUGGAAGUGGAGAAAAAGCUGUGUAUGGACACAGGGUUGAUAUUGUCAUCUUCUGAUCCCGAUUCUGUAUAUGGGACCUGCCCACUCUCCCUAAGUACUGACAUUCCUCCUAUUUCCUCCCUAACUUCUGGAAAGGAUCUAUAGUUUCUUUCCCCCAGGAUAAUAGGGGUCAAAAUUUUAUGAAAAUGAUGAAAUACUUACAGUGGAAUUUGCAUUAAAAGGAAGAAAGUGGUAUCUAUAUAUCUAUAUAUUUACAUCUACAUCUAUAUCUAAAGUUUCUUAGUGGUGGAGGGACUUUGAAUUGCUCCUAAAACCACACCACCAAGGUGGCUGAAUGCUCCUUGUAACAUGCCUCACCAUCCUACUUGUGAACUGAGCCAAUACACUUCAAAAAGAGGUGGAUCCCUCUCUCUGCAAUGACUAGUAUCAGAGCUACACAGAGACCUGGCAAAUCAUUACACAUGAAGAUGCCAGUGGCCCAACUUUGCUGCUGGGUUGCCUUUUCCUCCCGCUGAGGCCUCACUGCCCAGCCACUAAGUUCAAAAGCAGAGGCAAAGGUCCAUAAUACCUGACCUCUUGGAACAGCCCAGGAUGCAGUGCCAACCAGCAGUUCCUUCUGACCAGCAGCACUACCAGGCUCUUUCUGAACAGAUCACUCACCUCCUGGAAGUCCCAGCGCUGCUGGUGGAUGGCCAGGCCUUCCUCUGUGCAGUUCUGAAGAAUCACCUGCUCCUGCCUGACAGCGAAGCACAGGUGCUGUGGCCUGCCAAAGUGAAUCUCCUUCCUGCUGGUGUGCUGCAGGUACUGUGACAGAAGCAAUGGUUGUUAGCGCAACUAGAAAGAGAUCCUCUCCAAAGCUGUAGAGGAGAAGUCAUCAAAUGAACAAAAUGGACAUCUGUGAUUCAGAGAAUGGACACCCAAAUGGAUAUAAGAAGAAAAAGGUACCUCACCUGUAGACUUGAUGAAAGUAAGCCUAGCAUUUAUUCUCCAAAGCACUCUUUCACAUUUCAUUUGAUAGUAUACUCACAACAGUUAGUGAGUUCUUACAGGUUAAAUGACUUUCCCAGGGUCAAUAGCUUCUAACAGGUCAGAGUGGUAUAUCAGGUAGCUAGUCAGACAUAAGCAGGGCAGGGGAGGAUUGUCCCCAAGCCCCCAACCUCCAGGGAUGUCAGGCCGACACCAGGUGUUGGUCAGGCAGCUGUUAACUGUCUUUCUAAACCAAUAAUUAGUUGCAGCUGGCACCAGAGAACGGCAGUCUCUCCACAGAGAAACCUGAACUUGGUGAUCAGCUUCCCGAUACGAUCUCAGGAGUUGGGCAAGUGGGCUCAAGCUUGUGCACUAAGAGGGUCUUGCUCUGGCUCCCAGGCUAAAGUGCAAUGGGGCGA